rnacentral:rRNA from 1 species
UGGGGAAUAUUGGACAAUGGGCGAAAGCCUGAUCCAGCCAUGCCGCGUGUGUGAAGAAGGUCUUCGGAUUGUAAAGCACUUUAAGUUGGGAGGAAGGGCAGUAAGUUAAUACCUUGCUGUUUUGACGUUACCAACAGAAUAGGCACCGGCUAACUUCGUGCC